GUUGUAACUUGUGGAGAUCAUCAUGAUCAUGAAGGUGGUUCACUCAAGGUGAGGUUCAGUCAUUGCACUCAGACUGCUGUUGACCUUUGAGAAUUCCCCAAAUGUGGGAAUCUCGACUGAAUAAUGUCUGGUAGUGGGGGACUGCAUUCACGCUUUCCCUGG